rnacentral:rRNA from 1 species
AUUGAACGCUGGCGGCAGGCCUAACACAUGCAAGUCGAACGGUAGCACAGAGAGCUUGCUCUCGGGUGACGAGUGGCGGGCGGGUGAGUAACGUCUGGGAAACUGCCCGAUGGAGGGGGAUAACUACUGGAAACGGUAGCUAAUACCGCAUAACGUCGCAAGACCAAAGUGGGGGACCUUCGGGCCUCACACCAUCCGAUGUGCCCAGAUGGGAUUAGCUAGUAGGUGGGGUAAUGGCUCACCUAGGCGACGAUCCCUAGCUGGUCUGAGAGGAUGACCAGCCACACUGGAACUGAGACACGGUCCAGACUCCUACGGGAGGCAGCAGUGGGGAAUAUUGCACAAUGGGCGCAAGCCUGAUGCAGCCAUGCCGCGUGUAUGAAGAAGGCCUUCGGGUUGUAAAGUACUUUCAGCGGGGAGGAAGGCGGUGAAGUUAAUAGCUUCACCGAUUGACGUUACCCGCAGAAGAAGCACCGGCUAACUCCGUGCCAGCCGCCGCAGUAA